AAUCCAACAGAACACAGGUAAUCAGACAGAACGAAGGUAAUCCAACAGAACGAAGGUAAUCCAACAGAACACAGGUAAUCAGACAGAACGAAGGUAAUCCAACAGAACACAGGUAAUCAGACAGAACGAAGGUAAUCCAACAGAACGAAGGUAAUCCAACAGAAC